rnacentral:rRNA from 1 species
UACGGAGGGUGCAAGCGUUAUCCGGAUUCACUGGGUUUAAAGGGUGCGUAGGAGGACUGGUAAGUCAGUGGUGAAAUCCCCGAGCUUAACUUGGGAACUGCCGUUGAUACUAUCAGUCUUGAAUACCGUGGAGGUGAGCGGAAUAUGUCAUGUAGCGGUGAAAUGCUUAGAUAUGAGGAGGAACACCGGUGGCGAAGGCGGCUCACUGGCCCGAUACUGACGCUGAGGCACGAAAGCGUGGGGAGCAAACAGG